CAGUAGCCGCGGUAAUACGUAGGGUGCGAGCGUUAAUCGGAAUUACUGGGCGUAAAGCGUGCGCAGGCGGCUUUGCAAGACAGAUGUGAAAUCCCCGGGCUCAACCUGGGAACUGCAUUUGUGACUGCAAGGCUAGAGUACGGUAGAGGGGGAUGGAAUUCCGCGUGUAGCAGUGAAAUGCGUAGAUAUGCGGAGGAACACCAAUGGCGAAGGCAAUCCCCUGGACCUGUACUGACGCUCAUGCACGAAAGCGUGGGGAGCAAACAGGAUUAGAUACCCCUGUAGUCCCUGUCUCUUAUAC
rnacentral:rRNA from 1 species